GACGAACGCUGGCGGCGUGCUUAACACAUGCAAGUCGAACGGAAAGGCCCCCUUGUGGGGUACUCGAGUGGCGAACGGGUGAGUAACACGUGAGUAACCUACCCUUGACUUUGGGAUAACUUCAGGAAACUGGGGCUAAUACCGGAUAGGAGCUCCUGCUGCAUGGUGGGGGUUGGAAAGUUUUGGCGGUUGGGGAUGGACUCGCGGCUUAUCAGCUUGUUGGUGGGGUAGUGGCUCACCAAGGCUUUGACGGGUAGCCGGCCUGAGAGGGUGACCGGCCACAUUGGGACUGCGAUACGGCCCAGACUCCUACGGGAGGCAGCAGUGGGGAAUAUUGCACAAUGGGCGGAAGCCUGAUGCAGCAACGCCGCGUGCGGGAUGACGGCCUUCGGGUUGUAAACCGCUUUCGCCUGUGACGAAGCGUGAGUGACGGUAAUGGGUAAAGAAGCACCGGCUAACUACAUG
rnacentral:rRNA from 1 species